GGAGGUUUUAGCUCAGUGGUAGAGCAUUUUGCUUGGUGUGCAAAAGGUCCGUGGUUCAAUCCCCGGCAUCUCCA
rnacentral:tRNA from 1 species